rnacentral:rRNA from 1 species
GGCGCACGGGUGAGUAACACGUGGAUAAUCUACCCAUCAGCACGGGAUAACAGUUGGAAACGACUGCUAAUACCGUAUACGAUCCAAUUAACCUUGGGUGAAAGGAGGCCUCUGCAUAUGCUUCACUGAUGGAUGAGUCCGCGCCUCAUUAGGUAGACGGCGGGGUAACGGCCCACCGUGCCAACGAUGAGUAGCCGGCCUGAGAGGGUAAUCGGCCACACUGGGACUGGAACACGGCCCAG